GACGAACGCUGGCGGCGUGCUUAACACAUGCAAGUCGAACGGAAAGGCCCUGCUUUUGUGGGGUGCUCGAGUGGCGAACGGGUGAGUAACACGUGAGUAACCUGCCCUUGACUUUGGGAUAACUUCAGGAAACUGGGGCUAAUGCCGGAUAGGAGCUCCUGCUGCAUGGUGGGGGUUGGAAAGUUUCGGCGGUUGGGGAUGGACUCGCGGCUUAUCAGCUUGUUGGUGGGGUAGUGGCUUACCAAGGCUUUGACGGGUAGCCGGCCUGAGAGGGUGACCGGCGACAUUGGGACUGAGAUACGGCCCAGACUCCUACGGGAGGCAGCAGUGGGGAAUAUUGCACAAUGGGCGGAAGCCUGAUGCAGCAACGCCGCGUGCGGGAUGACGGCCUUCGGGUUGUAAACCGCUUUCGCCUGUGACGAAGCGUGAGUGACGGUAAUGGGUAAAGAAGCACCGGCUAACUACGUG
rnacentral:rRNA from 1 species